rnacentral:rRNA from 1 species
GCAAUGAUGGCUAGGGGUUCUGCAAGGAAGGCCCCCCACACUGGUACUGAGACACGGACCAGACUCCUACGGGAGGCAGCAGUGAGGAAUAUUGGUCAAUGGAGGCAACUCUGAACCAGCCAAGCCGCGUGAAGGAAGACAGUCCUAUGGAUUGUAAACUUCUUUUGUGGCAGAAUAAACUACCGUACUUGUACGGUAUUGCAUGUAUGCCAUGAAUAAGCAUCGGCUAACUCCGUGCCAGCAGCCGCGGUAAUACGGAGGAUGCAGGCGUUAUCCGGAUUUAUUAGGUUUAAAGGGUGUUCAGGCUGCCUGGUAAGUCAGGGGUGAAAGUCGGUUGCUCAACGAUCGAAUUGCCUUUGAAACUGUCAGGCUCGAGUAUGGAUGCGGUAGGCGGAAUGUGUAGUGUAGCGGUGAAAUGCAUAGAUAUUACACAGAACACCGAUUGCGAAGGCAGCUUACCAAACCAGCACUGACGCUGAAGCACGAAAGCGUGGGGAGCGAACAGGAUUAGAUACCCUGGUAGUCCACGCCGUAAACUUUGCUCACUCGCUGUUGGCGAUAGACAGUCAGCGGCCAAGGGAAACCGAUAAGUGAGCCACCUGGGGAGCACGGCCGCAAGGUUGAAACUCAAAGGAAUUGACGGGGGCCCGCACAAGCGGUGGAACAUGUGGUUUAAUUCGAUGAUACGCGAGGAACCUUACCUGGGCUUAAAUGUGAAGUGCAUUGAUUGGAAACAAUCAUUUCCUUCGGGACCCUUUACAAGGUGCUGCAUGGUUGUCGUCAGCUCGUGCCGUGAGGUGUCGGGUUAAGUCCCAUAACGAGCGCAACCCCUAUUGUUAGUUACCAGCGCGUAAAGGCGGGGACUCUAGCGAAACUGCCGGUGUAAACCGCGAGGAAGGUGGGGAUGACGUCAAAUCAGCACGGCCCUUAUGUCCAGGGCUACACACGUGUUACAAUGGCCGGUACAGCGGGCAGCUAGGCAGCGAUGUCAUGCUAAUCCCGAAAGCCGGUCCCAGUUCGGAUUGGAGUCUGCAACCCGACUCCAUGAAGGUGGAUCGCUAGUAAUCGCGCAUCAGCCAUGGCGCGUGAUACGUUCCCGGCAUUGACACACCGCCCGUCGAGCCAUGGAAGUCUGGG